rnacentral:rRNA from 1 species
UACGUAGGUUGCGAGCGUUAUUCGGAUUUAUUGGGCGUAAAGAGCGUGUAGGCGGCUAGGUAGGUCCGUUGUGAAAACUCGAGGCUCAACCUCGAGACGCCGAUGGAAACCAUCUGGCUAGAGUCCGGAAGAGGAGAGUGGAAUUCCUGGUGUAGCGGUGAAAUGCGCAGAUAUCAGGAAGAACACCCGUGGCUAAGGCGGCUCUCUAGUACGGUACUGACGCUGAGACGCGAAAGCGUGGGGAGCGAACAGG